GUCUUUAAAAUUAAAAAAUUUGGCGGUAUUUUAGUCUGUUCAGAGGAACCUGUUUUUUAAUCGAUAAUCCACGAUAAUUUUUACUUUAACUUUAAGUUUAUAUAUCGUUGUUUGUAAAAAUUUUAGGAUAUAAUUUUUUCAGAUCAAGGUGUAGUUUAUGUUAAAGUUAGAAUGGGUUACAUUAAAAAUUUAAAAUAAAUUGGAUUUGAGAGUAAGCUCUAAAAUAUGUACAUAUCGCCCGUCGCUUUCAUUUUAAGGUGGAAUAAGUCGUAACAAAGUAGGCUUAUUGGAAAAUGAGCCUGGAAUUCAAAUUAGAGCUUGGUAAGCGUUUUAUUUACACUAAGAAGAUAAUUGGUAGUUUCAAUUUAAUUUGAACUUAAAAUAUUAUUAUUGUUUGUUUGGUUUUUUUGUUUAUAGAAAUAUAUUUUUUUUUAUUUUUUUCAUGAAAUAAUUUUAUUAUAGUUUAAAGUAUUGUAAGAGAAUUGUUAUUUGUUUUUAAAAGUUGAUUUUUUUUGUUGUACCUUGUGUAUCAGGGUUAAUUUAUAAAACUUUCUCGAAUCUAUAAGAGUUAUUUUUACUGUAGCAUAAGUAUUUUUAAUAUUUUUAUGGUAGCGAAAUGUUAUUCGUUUAUUGAGAUAUCUAGUUUCUUAUGAAAUGAAUUUA
rnacentral:rRNA from 1 species